UACGGAGGAUGCGAGCGUUAUCCGGACUUAUUGGGUUUAAAGGGUGCGUAGGCGGACUGUCAAGUCAGCGGUAAAAUUGAGAGGCUCAACCUCUUCCCGCCGUUGAAACUGGUGGUCUUGAGUGGAUGAGAAGUACGCGGAAUGCGUGGUGUAGCGGUGAAAUGCAUAGAUAUCACGCAGAACUCCGAUUGCGAAGGCAGCGUACCGGCAUCCAACUGACGCUGAGGCACGAAAGCGUGGGGAUCAAACAGG
rnacentral:rRNA from 1 species